AAAAGGGGCGGAGCAUACUGUGUGCGCAGGAGAGGAGUCGAGCAGAGAGAGCUGCUUUUUCAUGAAACGGGAGUAAAGUAGUGAACUUAGAGGAGAGAAACAAACAAAGUAUCGAUCAUAUACCACUACCAACGUUUGGAUCGAUAUCUGCAUCGAUCUGCCCACCCUUGUCUCCUGGAUCGUAGCUGAGAUCAGCGUGAACCACGUGGGUCUCUGCUCCCUGAUCUGUUUCCUGUGUUUGGAAAGAGUUCCAGCUUCAUCACGGAGUUUCUCUCGGUUUGUGGGCUCAUCUAAAGCUGAUCAGCAGGAGGAGAAGAGUCUGACGGAGCACCAGACGAACAUUUUCAACCAUUUGGACUCAGCUCAGCUGCUACAGUGGACAAAAAUGUCAUCAACACAAAAGCAUGUCUUUAAUCCUGUUUUCCUUCUUUCACCCCGACCGGUCGCAGCAGAUGGCCGCCCCUCCCUGAGCCAUGUUCUGCCGGAGGUUUCUUCCUGUUGAAAGGGAGUUUUUCCUUCCCACUGUCGCCAAAGUGCUUGCUCAUAGGGGGUCAUAUGAUUGUUGGGUUUUUCUCUGUAUUUAUUAUUGUGCUAUCUACUGUACAAUAUAAAGCGCCUUGAGGCGACUUUUGUUGUGAUUUGGUGCUAUAUAAAUAAAAUUGAAUUGAAUUGAAUUGCAAAUUUCACAAUAUGAUUAGCACUGAGUCUGGCUUACAGUAAUGUGUGAGCAGACUGAACAGCAACGGGCUCAGGACACCCCCCAGAGGAAAGCCUGUGCUCAACAAGAUGGUCUUUGAUGUGUGGCUGCCCACCUUGACUGUCUGUUGCCGCUUUUCAAGAAGCUGGAAACCCAUUUGCAGGUUGCAGGUUCCACGCCUGAUAGCAUCAGCAUUUCCACCAACUGCUGCAGAAUGAUCAUGUUAAA
ensembl:lncRNA